rnacentral:rRNA from 1 species
UACGGGGGGGGUAAGCGUUGUUCGGAAUUACUGGGCGUAAAGGGCUCGUAGGCGGCCAACUAAGUCAUACGUGAAAUCCCUCAGCUUAACUGGGGAACUGCGUGUGAUACUGGAUGGCUUGGAUGUGGGAGAGGGAUGCGGAAUUCCAGGUGUAGCGGUGAAAUGCGCAGAUAUCAGGAGGAACACCGGUGGCGAAGGCGGAUCUCUGGGCCAUUACUGACGCUGAGGAGCGAAAGCGUGGGGAGCGAACAGG